UACGUAGGUGGCAAGCGAUACUCGGAAUCACUAGGCGUAAAGCGCAGGUAGACGGCUCGAUAAGUCUCUUGUGAAAGCUCCCGGCUCAACUGGGGAGAGGUCAAGGGAAACUGUUGGGCUAGAGUGUGGUAGAGGAAACUGGAAUUCCCGGUGUAGCGGUGAAAUGCGCAGAUAUCAGGAGGAACACCGGUGGCGAAGGCGGGUCUCUGGGCAAUAACUGACGCUGGAGGAGCGAAAGCCGUGGGGAGCGAACAGG
rnacentral:rRNA from 1 species